UGUUGGAGAGGAUUUUUUUCCAAACCUGAGGGGCUUAUCCAUAUGUCUAACGUCUGAAAUGUCCACGUCAUCAGUCUACAGUUCAAACAAAGUAGUCCGCCUAUUCUAUUCUGCUCGCUUGGAGUUUAAACUGCAACUGCAACCCCUCAGCUCGCCGUUGACGUCUCUCCGCGCUCUUGAAUAUGUUAGUUGUGGGUCAUGAUCCUUCACGCCUACGCAAACCUUCCACAGCAUUGGUUUCAGUUCGUUCGAGCUCCCUAGCAUCCAUUCCUUUGAACAUCAUCCCUUCGUUCCAACGGUGCGAGUUGUUAGGUUGCAGAAGCCGUGGAUUCCUUGUACUCGGAGUUCAAAUCCGUGGAUAAUUUGGUGGCGCACCAUACCAACCGUGUUCUUAAAGCUUACUAGAUUUCUCGGGUUGGAUCUCAUAUUUUGGCAGUUGCUGGUAAUCCUUAUGACAUGCCAGAGGAUGUUAUUGGAAUUACGGACUCUCAUGGACUUGGUUCCCUGAAAGAUUUUGAGGUGAAAUACUGAGAAGUUCUAGUUAAUUACUUAUAAUGCUAAAAAAUUUUGGGGUGCCUCCAAACUUUGUGUCGGUCUUCUCCCUUUCUACUUUCCCCUUUUAUCUCUGACAUGUCACAGCUUGCAGAAGAUGGUGGGCUUGGCUGAAAUGCACUUACCAUUGCUUUGAGGCCUAUAACACAAGGUGCUCAUACAGAGGUCAUGUGGUUAUUCAUGGUGCCAUAGUUUAAGUGCAAAUAAGAUAGGGAGAGCAAUAAACAUGAUCAAGGUGACACUUUUUGACUUGGGGUUUUAUAUAUGCUUAAAUUCUUGCUUUUAUUUAUAUUUUGUUUCCCAAUAGAACUUGUUUGUGAAAGGCUACGAUGGUAGGUCAUGAAGUGGGUUACUGCAGGUUGGGGUAUUGGAUGGGGAUGUGGCUGAUGCACCACUUCUUAAUUUUUGUACGUGCAUGCUAUUCUCUAGGUUUUAAGAUUACAUACCGAGUCAGAAGUGAUGAUGGUGGAACUAAUUUGACUUAGAAUGGAGUGAUUAAAUAUUUCUAAUGUUUAAAGUCUUAUUGAGUUCUAAAUACUUAGUUUAAUUGAGAAUCGUUUGAGAGUUCUGUUAGAAUCCAUCUGCAUAUUCUAGUUCUCUGUCUACCUUCUCACUUUGACUGAAUUUAGUAAGCAUGUGAAGAAGUCACGAUGCCUCUAGGGUUAUAUGUCUAUCGUAGUGGAAAAUGUCAUUGAGGAAAAAAGAAAAAAAGAAUAGAGAAAGUUCUCUUGCAGCCUGUCAGUGCAAUCAACUUUUCCUUUUUCUGUUUCACUUUUCUGUCCCUGUUUGGUCUUCACUGGUUACUUAAUUGAUGUUCUAGCCCUUUGCUCUUUUAUUUUUCAAUGAAUAACUGAAUUUACUGAUUGAACAAAAAGAAUAUAAAGCAACCAGACUCAUUAAGGGGCCCAAAGAAGCACAUACAAGGAGCCAAUCAAGCCAUUACUUUCCCCGAGAGAGCUAGAAAGGAAAUAAAAUCGUGGAAUCCAUGGCAUUACACUCUUUGCUUUGGUAAAUAAUUAGCAACCUCAUUAACUGUCCUACAUUUCCACUGGAAUGAAAUGUUUAUAUGAUCAGUGAUGUUAAAUUAUUUUACCGAUUUAAGUUGUAAUACAUGACACAUGUACCAUGGGGGUAACAUAUGUGUCAUGUACUUUUCUCCUUGUACGAUAUUAGUUAGUCUUGAGUCUGUUUUACUUUUUAGUUAGUCUUCUAGUCUAUUUAUGUUUCCUAUUAUAGGUUUGUUUUAGUUUCCUAUUUGUAAUACAACUCCUUAUUACAUAACAGACAAAGGGAUGAGGACAAAACCUUACCCGACUCUAUUUUGCUAUUACAAGCAGAGCCUUCUUCUCAUCCAUCAUCUCCCUCUUCUCGUCAUCUUCUUCUUCUUCUUUCUCUUCACAUUAUUGGUUUUCUGGUAUCACCUAGAGCUUGGGUUGACAAGUUCAGUUCUAUAAUCACUCAAUGUCGGUUUUCAAAUGCUAUUCUGAUCAUUUUGUAUUUGUUUGUCGCCAAGGAUCUAAGGUGGUUGUAUUGGUUGUUUAUGUUGAUGACAUUUUAAUUUUUGGAAAUAAUGAAUCCAGAAUUACUAAAGGGAAGGUUUAUCUAUAUCAACAUUUUCAAAUGAAAUAUUUGGGUACCCUCCUUUCUUGGCAUGGAAGUUCUACAGAGUAAGAAAGGAAUUAGUCUUUCACAAUAGAACCAUGUGUUAGUCCUAUUAUCUGAGACUGGUAUGCUUGCCUCUAAACUAGUUGAUACUUCUAUAGAUCCUCAUCAGAAAUUUGGCACUACUGACGGUGAAGAUUUUGAUGAUAAACACAGAUAUAGAAGACUAGUGGGGAAAUUGAUUUAUUUGACUAUUACUUGACCUGACAUCUUUUGCAAUUGGGGUUGUUGGUUAGUUUAUGCGGUCACUGAAGAAGAUCCACUGGGAUGCAACUUGUUGGAUCUUGAGGUAUCUGAAGGGGGACCCCAAGGAAGUGGCUCAUUUAACCUCUUAAGAAUAUUGAUCUGGUAAGAUAUUUUGAUGCUAAUUGGGCUGGUGCUGAUGGUGACAAGAGAUCUACUACUGGAUUUUGGACAUUCGUUGGUUGUAAUCUAGUAACGUGGUGUAACAAAAAGCAUACCAUUGUGGCUAAAUCUAGUACAAAAGUUGAGUAUAGAGCUAUGGCCCAUACUGCUGCUGAGUAAUGUGGUUAUGUUCUCUUCUUCAAGAGUUGGGGUUUCUUGUUCCACAUUCUAUAAAGAUGUAUUGUGACAAUCAAGCUGCUAUCUACUUCAUAAGAAACCCUGUGUUUCAUGAGAGGACGAAACAUAUCGAGGUUGAUUGUCAUUUUGUGUGAAAUGUUGUCAUGAAGAAGUUGAUUAUUGCACCAUUUGUUUCCUCUUCCACACAGCUGUAGAAACGCAACCCCAAAAUGAUGCAGAAGAAAUGGGAAACCAAGAACAAACAAUCACACAAUGCUUACAGAUUUAUGUGGUUUGGCUAGAUGUGCCUACUUCCACGGUGUUAUGGGAUCCUGCUUCACUAUCAAUGGAGAAUAGGGUUAAAAUACUCAUCCUCACACCUCUCUUAGCUUGUUUACGGAGAAAGAAACUCGCUACAAAUAUAUAGCGAAACCCUAUAUAGAAAAAUUACAAAAAUACCCAUAUAGCCUUUGAACAUUUUCUGCUUUUGCCACAGAUGGAAUUCAAGACAUCAUAUCCCCAACAUCAGCUUGGUGAUAUGUUCACCAAGCCACAAUUUGGGCUUGCUUUUCCGGAAGAAUUGUUUCAAGUUGAGAAUGCCUGACCUAUAUGCUCCAGUUUGGGGGGGAGUAUUAAAAGUAUGUUUACUGAUUUAAGUUGUAAGGGUACAUGACGCAUAUGUACCAUGGAGGUACCGAUUUACCAAGCUUCUGUUUGGGCCUGCUUUCCAGAAGAAUUGUUUCAAGUUGGGCAUGAGUGACCUAUAUGCUCCAGCUUGAGGCGAAGUGUUAAAGUUUGUUAUUGAUUCAAGUUGUAAGGGUACAUGACACAUAUGUACCAUCGGGGUACACAUGUGUUAUGUGCAAAUUCCCCUUGUAUGAUACUACUUAGUCUUGAGUAUGUUUUAGCUAGUCUUCUAGGCUAUUUAUGCUUCUAUUACAGGUCUGUUUUAGUUUCCUAUUUGUAAUACAACUCUCUAUCAUAUAAUGUGCAAAUGGGUGAGGAUAGCCUACCCGACUCUGUUUUGCUAUUACAAGCAGAGCCUUCUUCUCAUCCAUCGUCUCCCUCUUCUCAAAUUUUUGUUCUUUCUCUUUACAUUAUUGGUUUGCUGGUUUAUUAGGUCUAACUUUUUUACAAGUGGUACCAUAAGCCUGCUUAAUAAAGUGUGUUAAUCACCAAGUUCCAUUCUCUUUCUUCACAUCCAGCCUAUAAUGUUUAUUGUAAACCUUUUAAUAAAAUCUGAGUGUGACCGUUAUCAAUAGCCAACUUGAAGCCUAAGAAAUGGUUAAGAUGCUCUUCCUUGGUAGAGGUAUCAAGAACAAGAACUUGCACCAACAGUGUCUCCUCAACUGGCCAUGAAAGCUAGACCUAUCUGAAAAGGACUGGUGUUGCCAAGAAAAUAACCUUCAAAGUUCAGGUUGAAUACACCUGGAGGAGGGGGGUGGGGGUUGCUAUGCAGGUUUAUAAUCCUAGGUUAGACUUUUAAUCUUCUAACGCUGUAAAUGGGUUGAAGGUUUGGUUAAUACAUACUAAAGGAAAAAAGAAAAUUAAGAGAGUAUUGAUGUGAACUGAUUAUAAUCACACAACAUCCCAAGUCAUGGUAUCGAGCGGAGAUAAAUGUACCUGAUUGGUGUCAUCUUUUGCAUGUCUACAGACAAAGAAUUUAAACUGCUUGGUAAUGGUGAAUAGUUGCUACGGUGAAUUUUUAGGAACCAAGGAACCUCAUAUGGUCGUAAGUUUCAGGGAUAUUUUUCACCCUUUCCAUCUGUAAAGGGAACAACAGGAUCUUGUUAAUGAUCAGCAUGGUGUAGAUUUAAUUUCAGGCAGUUUGAUAAAAAUUCCAAUUGGAACUACUGCACCAUGCGGAGGAUACAUUGUGGGGAGGGAAAAGGGGGUGAAAGCAGCAGCAGCAGCAAGUCUCUCUGCCCCAGGUCCUGGGGUAGACUGGCUCAAUCCCUGAUAAUAUAAUGAAGGAAAUUUUUCAGUGAUUGUUCAUUUCACCCCAAAUGGUUGGAGAAGCAAUAAAGGGAGGUCUUCUUAUUGCUGAAAUCAUGGCAUCGAGAGGAUAUAACAUGCAGCUACUUCCUCGUGUUUCACACCAUAAUACAGUUCAGGUUUCCUUAGACUCUAUCCUGUGUUUAACAUGCUCUGCUAUCAUUACUUUUGUUUUGUUCAUGUGCUAUGAGCUUUCCUUAGCCUUUUAGACUGUUGCACUGGUUAUUGAUCCAAAUAAUUGUAGUGGAUGAAAAUGAGUUCGUGGCUCUGAAUAGCGUUGAAUGGUGAGACAGGAUUCAUGUAGCCAAUUCUAUUUAGUAAGGCCUAGUGGAGCUGAGUUUGUAUGUAAAUGCUUUAUGUUCUUACCAAUAGUGAAUAUGAUUUGUUGCAUCAAAAGGUAGUAUUGGGUGUAAGAUUUGGUCUUAUAAGAAGAUCCUCUGCUUUCUGCGUUUGCAGUUGUUAAGGAAAGCUUCCUCAAUGGCUCAAAUAUCUGCCACAUGGAAGCUCUGUUGGUAAUCAAAUUUUGUAGACGUAUUUACCAUAUCAUUGAAAGUGCAAGGAUGGAGGUCCUAACGUACAAUGCAAUAGAUAUGAGACUUGAAUUGUGAGACAUGGCUGAUCCAAGAAUGCUUCUCAUCCAAUGGAAGGUGUGACCAAAGGAUCCCCCACAUGGUUAAAAAGGAUAGAUAGUCAAGGAAACAGUUCCUUUAUGAUGGGACCUUGUUUUGGUUCUUGACCCUUCAAAAAUUUUAGCAUCUAAGUAGUGCCUACACAGAAUUUUGAUGCAGUUUAAUAUAUCUUAAAUGUUCACUCAAUCAUUCAGCUUCAGGUAACAAUGACUGAACCGAAAAAAUAAGAUGACUGAAUUAAAUAAUUUACUUUAGACUAAAUAUUGAGACUAUAAAUCGAGGAUACAAUGCUGUGAAGUUUCAAUAACAAAUGGGAAUCAAGUAUACUUGGUAGAAGCCUAGAAGGAACCAAACCAGCAUACUUAUCUUCUUUUGGUAAUAAUGACAUUGAUGUUUUGUUAUAUAUUUAUUGCUUUCUUUAGCUCAGUUUUUUGGUAUGGUGAUGAUCCUAGGGCCACUUUUGUUUCAAUAUGAGAUGGUGAAAUAUUUUCUAGAAAUUUAGUUAGUCCGGCUAGAUAAGUCUUAUCAGGUCUGUAAAAAUGUGGAUAUUAUGAAUUGUAGAAGCUUUUUUCCCAGAUAAUGGCAUUCUUAAUUUGUAAACGAUAUGCCAUUUUCACUAAAACUGGGAGUAUAAAAGCUGUUGGAUUCUAAAGCUUUAUCUUUUCCAUAAACUUAAAUGUCAUAUUGCCUAUCUAGGUGUAGUAUAACACUAAUUCUGGAAAUUUUUUUCAAAUUUUUUUUUUCACUAUUUUCAAUAUUUACAUUAGAAUAAUUGGAUUCUAAUU